ACGUUAGUUGCUAACAGGUGAAGCUGAGCACUCUAGACGAACUGCCGUUGACAAAACGGAGGAAGUGGGGAUGACGUCAAAUCAUCAUGCCCUUAUGUUCUGGGCUACACACGUGCUACAAUGGCCGGUACAGACGGAGGCGAAGCCGCGAGGCGGAGCAAAUCCGAAAAAGCCGGUCUCAGUUCGGAUUGCAGGCUGCAAUUCGCCUGCAUGAAGUCGGAAUCGCUAGUAAUCGCAGGUCAGCAUACUGCGGUGAAUACGUUCCCGGGCCUU
rnacentral:rRNA from 1 species